rnacentral:lncRNA from 1 species
AUUUACGUAGGGAAGCUUCGUUCCUCGUUUGUGCGGUGUGCAAAGAUUGCACGCAAUUCCCGCUGUUCUCGGAGUGCCGAUGAAGUACGAGUCGUUCAAGGAAUCAACGAAAUGUGCGGGCGCUCGAAUGACUCCAUGGCUGACACCCGCGGCCACCUGCUACACGCCAGUGCGAAAGAAACUAAAGGUUGAUCUUAAGCAGAAAACCAGAAGUGGCAGUGGUCUCCAGAAGAGACCAAGGACCCCAAGCUCUCUCUGACACAAGCAGGAAGGGCACUGUGGUGCAUUGAAAACUUGCUCCAGUAGUGCAUUGCCAGUGCACUAUGCUGCUGUUUCAUCAAGGAGAAAGGAGGUGACCAGCCCGAGAGGAACUUCAUGCUCUACAGUAUGCCUACGGAGAACACCUCAAGGCGCAUCCAAGCAACGUCCUGGAGGCACAGCGCCACCGGAAUCUCAAUCGCCAUUUGGGGGACCUGCUUAAAG